rnacentral:rRNA from 1 species
UACGUAGGUGGCGAGCGUUGUCCGGAUUUACUGGGCGUAAAGGGAGCGUAGGCGGACUUUUAAGUGAGAUGUGAAAUACUCGGGCUCAACUUGAGUGCUGCAUUUCAAACUGGAAGUCUAGAGUGCAGGAGAGGAGAAUGGAAUUCCUAGUGUAGCGGUGAAAUGCGUUGAGAUUAGGAAGAACACCAGUGGCGAAGGCGAUUCUCUGGACUGUAACUGACGCUGAGGCUCGAAAGCGUGGGGAGCAAACAGG